GCCCGGGUGGCUCAGUCGGUUGAGCGUCCGACUUCAGCUCAGGUCACGAUCUCGCGGUCCGUGAGUUCGAGCCCCGCGUCGGGCU
rfam:Felis catus isolate Cinnamon breed Abyssinian chromosome B1, whole genome shotgun sequence.